rnacentral:rRNA from 1 species
GAUGAACGCUGGCGGCGUGCCUAAUACAUGCAAGUCGAGCGAAAAGAUAAGGAGCUUGCUCCUUUGACGUUAGCGGCGGACGGGUGAGUAACACGUGGAUAACCUACCUAUAAGACUGGGAUAACUUCGGGAAACCGGUGAUAAUAACGGAUCACAUAUUGAACCGCAUGGUUCAAUAGUGCAUCGCGGCUUUGCUGUCACUUAUAGAUGGAUCCGCGCCGUAUUAGCUAGUUGGUAAGGUAACGGCUUACCAAGGCAACGAUACGUAGCCGACCUGAGAGGGUGAUCGGCCACACUGGAACUGAGACACGGUCCAGACUCCUACGGGAGGCAGCAGUAGGGAAUCUUGCGCAAUGGGCGAAAGCCUGACGGAGCAACGCCGCGUGAGUGAUGAAGGUCUUCGGAUCGUAAAGCUCUGUUAUCAGGGAAGAACAAAUGUGGAAGUAACUGUGCACGUCUUGACGGUACCUGAUCAGAAAGCCACGGCUAACUUCGUG